GUUAGUGGAACGGAUUGGAAAGUCCGGCGAUACAGGGUGAUAGCCCCGUACACGAAGACGCAUUGCUGUGAGCUCGAUGAGUAGGACGGGACACGUGGUAUCCUGUUUGAAGAUGGGGGGACCAUCCUCCAAGGCUAAAUACUCCUGACUGACCGAUAGCGAACCAGUACCGUGAGGGAAAGGCGAAAAGAACCCCUGUGAGGGGAGUGAAAUAGAACCUGAAACCGUGUACGUACAAGCAGUGGGAGCACCUUCGUGGUGUGACUGCGUACCUUUUGUAUAAUGGGUCAGCGACUUACAUUUUGUAGC
rnacentral:rRNA from 1 species